rnacentral:lncRNA from 1 species
UAUAUUCUCUUGAUAGUCCAUUUCUUGUUUUUGCUUUGCUAUCCUAAGUCACCUCGGCUUCAAUAACUUCAAGAUCGAGUUCUUCCUGUCCGUUGAAGCAUCCUCAUCGUUGGUGUCAUCAUCAUUUGCCAUUGCUACAGCAUUUGAUUUUCUUUAAGUGCAGAGAUUUGAACUUAUUACGACAAAUUCUAGGCUUAGGCC